AAAGGGCUUGCAGCUUUCGAGUGAGUGGCAAACGGGGAAAAAACGAGUGGACAACCUGCCUCGAGGCUGGGGAUAACGUUUGGAAACAGAUGCUAAUACCGAAUAAAACUUAGUGUCCCAUGACAAAAAGUUAAAAGGCGCUUCGGCGUCUCCUAUAGAUGGAUCCGCUAAUGCAUUAGUUAGUUGGUGGGGUAAAGGCCGACCAGGACCAUGAUACAUAACCUAAUUGACAGACUGAUCAGGGUGAUUGGGACUUAGACACUGACCCACUCCUACUCUCCGCUGGGGGGGGGAAUCAUCGACUCUGCGGGAAUGCCUGAUGGUCCGACCGAGCGUGGAUGAUGAGAGCUUUCAGGGUCUCGGAUACUGUUCUCUGUUGUUAGUAAUAACAUGGAUGAUAAUAGUUGUUCGACCCCUGAUGGCAUCUCAACAGAAAGCCACGGAUAAGUCCGCGCCAGCAGCCGUACUAAUACCCAGGUGGUUAGCGUUAUUUGUAUUUAUUGGGCGUAAA
rnacentral:rRNA from 1 species